ACACGAAGUGAGUGGCGAACGGGUGAGUAACACGUGGGUAACCUGCCCAGAAGUAGGGGAUAACACCUGGAAACAGAUGCUAAUACCGUAUAACAGAGAAAACCGCAUGGUUUUCUUUUAAAAGAUGGCUCUGCUAUCACUUCUGGAUGGACCCGCGGCGUAUUAGCUAGUUGGUGAGGUAAAGGCUCACCAAGGCAGUGAUACGUAGCCGACCUGAGAGGGUAAUCGGCCACAUUGGGACUGAGACACGGCCCAGACUCCUACGGGAGGCAGCAGUAGGGAAUCUUCCACAAUGGACGCAAGUCUGAUGGAGCAACGCCGCGUGAGUGAAGAAGGGUUUCGGCUCGUAAAGCUCUGUUGUUAAAGAAGAACGUGGGUAAGAGUAAC
rnacentral:rRNA from 1 species